ensembl:lncRNA
CGGGCCUCCCCGAAUGACGUGGCGAUUCCUGUGAUCAUUACAUCAGACCACAGGGCAUCAAAUAUAGAGGCGAAGGACGGAGCGGGGGAGAAGGUGGAGCACGGACGGAGGUGGAGGAGAAGAAUAGAGGACGGACGGAGGGGAAGAAGGAAAUAGGUGAGUCAAAAAAGAACGUCCAAAUCCCAUCCUCACAGCUGGAGUCCCGCGGCAGAGUACAAGAAAGGCACAGGAACGUGAGGAAGGAAGGAAGUGGAGCAAAGUGGCAUCGCGAUGAAGGUGGUCCAACAUGGCGGGGAACCGGCUGGUUUCUGGCGGAGAAGUCGGUACUGGAAAAAUUACACCGGGGCGUCUUAUGGACAGCUGUGUUCGGGAACGUUGUGAAGAAAGAAGAGACUCAACAGACUGAAAGGGGAGACCUCACCGUAGAAAUCACCUGCUAUUCCCAGGCGGUCUCCCAUCCAAGUACUUACCAGGCCCGAAACUGCUUAGCUUCCGAGAUCAAACGAGAUGGGGCGUGUUCAGCGUUCAACGUCUCCGUGGCAUCCAGAGAAUUCCCACAAUCAUCGCCAAAGAGAUGGGUGCUUUGCAUUGGACUCUACUGAUGCCCCGUUCUACGCUGCUACCUGCCGUCCGAUCCGGCGACUCUCGCUUUCAGUUGAAAGGCCCAGGUGAGGUAAAGGGGCGGAGCUCCAGACAGGUGAGUCGGCGCAGUUGUCUCCCCCCACCUGGAGCUGGAAGGGAACUUUGAUCUAUUUAUAUCAUCGAAUAAAAUGUCUAUAUUGAUGAUGUCG